AAGAAAGUGACAGACUGGUAUGUGGCUGGAUUGAAACCAGCUUAAGGGGGUUCAAUUCCUUCCUUUCUCG
rnacentral:tRNA from 1 species